GAGUUCAUCUGCAUGUAUGUGUUUAUGCAUAUAUAUAUAUAUAUAUAUAUAUAAAUGCAUAAACACAUACAUACAUGCAGAUGAACUCAUAUACAC